rnacentral:rRNA from 1 species
CUUGGGGGCGGGAGAGGCCGACGGUAUUCUCGGGGUAGGGGUGAAAUCCUAUAAUCCCGGGAAGACCACCAGUGGCGAAGGCUGUCGGCUAGAACGCGCCCGACGGUGAGGGAUGAAAGCUGGGGGAGCGAACCGGAUUAGAUACCCGGGUAGUCCCAGCUGUAAACGAUGCAGGCUAGGUGUUAGAGCGGCCACGUGCCGCUCUAGUGCCGCAGGGAAGCUGUUAAGCCUGCCGCCUGGGGAGUACGGCCGCAAGGCUGAAACUUAAAGGAAUUGGCGGGGGAGCACCACAAGGGGUGAAGCUUGCGGUUUAAUUGGAGUCAACGCCGGAAAUCUCACCGGGGGCGACAGCAGGAUGAAAGCCAGAUUAAAGGUCUUGCCAGACAAGCUGAGAGGAGGUGCAUGGCCGUCGCCAGUUCGUGCCGUGAGGUGUCCUGUUAAGUCAUGCAACGAUCGAGACCCGCAUCCCCCGUUGCUACCAGUCUUGAACUGGGCACACUGGGGAG